GGUCCGGUAGUCCAAUUUGGCAGAGACACAAAACUUAAAAUUUUGCAAGUAUCGGUUCGAAUCCGAUCCGGACUA
rnacentral:tRNA from 1 species